rnacentral:rRNA from 1 species
ACUAUACCUAGCCCACCUCCCUCCUCAUUACUACUAUUAACAAGCUAAUUAAAUAAAACAUUCACCACGCGUUUAAAGUAUAGGAGAUAGAAAUUUAACCACCAAUGGCGCUAUAGAGAAAGUACCGUAAGGGAAAGAUGAAAGAAUCAAUAAAAGUAAAAAAAAGCAAAGCUUACCCCUUGUACCUUUUGCAUAAUGACUUAACUAGCAAUAAUUUAGCAAAGAGACCUUAAGUUAAAAUACCCGAAACCAGACGAGCUACUUACAAGCAGUGACUAGGACAAACUCAUCUAUGUGGCAAAAUAGUGAGAAGACUUAUAAGUAGCGGUGAAAAGCCUAACGAGCCUGGUGAUAGCUGGUUGUCCAAAAAAGGAAUUUCAGUUCAACAUUAAACAAUGCUAAGGACCUUAUCAAGUUUCAACGUAUGUUUAACUGUUAGUCUAAAAAGGUACAGCUUUUUAGAAAUGGAUACAACCUUUACUAGAGAGUAAUAUAAAACUUAAACCAUAGUUGGCUUAAAAGCAGCCACCAAUUAAGAAAGCGUUCAAGCUCAACAACAAAAAUAAGUUUUAAUCCCAAUAAUAAAUAAAGCAACUCCUAGCCCGACUAUUGGACCAAUCUAUUUGAUUAUAGAAGCAAUACUGUUAAUAUGAGUAACAAGAAAAUUUUUCUCCUCGCACAAGCUUACAUCAGUAACUGAUAUUAUACUGAUAAUUAACAGUUAAUAAAUACAACCCAACACUAAAUUAUUUAUUAAACACACUGUUAACCCAACACAGGCGUGCACUAAGGAAAGAUUAAAAAAAGUAAAAGGAACUCGGCAAACACAAACCCCGCCUGUUUACCAAAAACAUCACCUCUAGCAUAGCCAGUAUUAGAGGCACUGCCUGCCCAGUGACUUAAUCGUUAAACGGCCGCGGUAUCUUGACCGUGCAAAGGUAGCAUAAUCACUUGUUCUCUAAAUAAGGACUUGUAUGAAUGGCCACACGAGGGUUUUACUGUCUCUUACUUUUAAUCAGUGAAAUUGACCUCCCCGUGAAGAGGCGGGGAUAAUAAAAUAAGACGAGAAGACCCUAUGGAGCUUUAAUUAAUCAACUCAAAAAUCAGAAAACAAUACCACUAAGGGAUAACAAAAUUUAUAUGAGUUGACAAUUUCGGUUGGGGUGACCUCGGAGCACAAAAAACCCUCCGAGUGAUUAAAACCUAGGCCUACUAGCCAAAGUGUAAUAUCACUUAUUGAUCCAAAUUUUUGAUCAACGGAACAAGUUACCCUAGGGAUAACAGCGCAAUCCUAUUCUAGAGUCCAUAUCGACAAUAGGGUUUACGACCUCGAUGUUGGAUCAGGACAUCCUAAUGGUGCAGCAGCUAUUAAGGGUUCGUUUGUUCAACGAUUAAAGUCCUACGUGAUCUGAGUUCAGACCGGAGUAAUCCAGGUCGGUUUCUAUCUAUUACGCAUUUCUCCCAGUACGAAAGGACAAGAGAAAUAAGGCCAACUUCAAAAAAGCGCCUUUAAAUAAUUAGUGAAUCAAUCUUAACCUAAUAAAUUAGCGCAAAUAUAUUAUGCCCAAAAUCAGGGCUUU